UUAGGUUAAUUGAUUCAAGAACCACGAAUCUCAGAAAUAUAAGAUCAUUAAACAAAGAUGAAAUUAGUCAAGAAAGUUCAGAGAAAGUUGGAGACUUAGAUUUCUUGGAAUCCUCAAUACCUCAGAGCCGAAAUAGAAGGUCAAUUCUGGGUAUACCCUUCCCAAGUGCAGCAGUUGUUCAACUUUUCCCCCUGCCCUUUCUUCCAACCAACCUCAUUGGAUUUCAAUUAAUAUUCAAUCCUCCUAAACCUAAACCUGGAGCCCCUGCCCCCACACCCUCUAAACCUUCACCUUCAAGAUACCCACCCGGCCCCUCCAAUCCUUCACCAUCAAGAUACCCUCCCCGCCCCUCUGAUCCCUCGCCCUCAAGAUACCUUCAAAGACCACAAACAAAUUACAAGAGUCCUCAAAAACCUCAUUAUGUUCCAAGAAGCGGCCUCCCCCUGUCCUACAAUGGACUCCCAGUGCCUCCUCCCACAGCUCGUGUUGACCCCAAUACUAUUGAAUACAAUGGCUGGAUUCCUUACCAUAGUUCUUAGAUCAACAGAUUACUAUGGUUUAAAGGGAAGAGUCACGAUUUUCAACAGGACACUCUCUUUCUAGACACUGUAUGCAACAUAUUUAAGCUUAAAGAGACUGUUGUUGUUAUUUCAAAUAACCACUAGUUCAAGAGGGGAAUGUUGCAAUUCACAAAGGAUCCCUUUUAAACUCUUGUCUAACAAAAUAAUCAAAAUCAAAUAACCCUGAUAUUGAUACUUUCAUCUUGGUGGUUUCUUUUUUAAAGUGACAAUUGCACAUUUAUGCAGCGAAAAUAAAGAAAGAAAUUGUCAGAAUUGAAGUCUUUAUUUGACAGGGUCGCCUGAUAUUAUGUCGACCUGCCCCUCUUAUGGAAUAAUAAGCAAUAUUUAUGCCAUAUAUUCUAAAUCUUAAGCGGCUGUAAUAAAGAAAACUUAAUUUAGAACUUUUUUUUAAUCACUAUGUUCGCUCUUCACCUCUAGUCAAGCCAUUCACACUGUUACCAAUAGUCUCACCUAACUGAUUUUAUAACUGUUAACCACAAAUACAUAGUUUUCUAUUCGUCAAAUAAUGAAUCUUUAAGAAACAUUAUUCAUCUAAUGUGCUAUUUAAUUAAAUAGUUAUUAUUUUGUGAUUUCAAAUGUUGAUAAUUUGCUAAGGGCAUUUUGUAUGUUGUUAUUUAUUCUUUAAAAGCAGUACUAGUAUAGUAUAUGAAU